GCCGGGAGCCGGCGCGUGGGCGUGG
rnacentral:piRNA from 1 species